rnacentral:rRNA from 1 species
AUUGAACGCUGGCGGCAUGCCUUACACAUGCCAGUCGAACGUCAGCACGGGAGCAAUCCUGGUGGCGAGUGGCGAACGGGUGAGUAAAGUAUCGGAACGUGCCCAGUCGUGGUGGAUAACGUAGCGAAAGUUACGCUACUACCGCUUACGAUCUAUGGAUUAAAGCAGGCGAACGCAAGACCUUGCGCGAUUGGAUCGGCCGAUAUCAGAUUAGGUAGUUGGUGGGGUAAAGGCUCACCAAGCCGACGAUCUGUAGCUGGUCUGAGAGGACGACCGGCGACAGUGUGACUGAGACACGGCCCAGACUCCUACGGGAGGCAGCAGUGGGGAAUUUUGGACAAUGGGCGCAAGCCUGAUCCAGCCAUGCCGCGUGCAGGAUGAAGGCCUUCGGGUUGUAAACUGCUUUUGUACGGAACGAAAAGGUUUGACUUAAUACGUUGGAUUCAUGACGGUACCGUAAGAAUAAGCACCGGCUAACUACGUGCCAGCCGCCGUAGUAA